rnacentral:lncRNA from 1 species
GUUGAGAAUGAUGGGCUCACUUCUACGCAGUGGGGCUGGCCUCACAGCUACAGGGGACAGACUGACCCCAGAUGUGCCCCCCACCCACAGCACAGCAAACCCCCGAAGGAUGAAUAGAGACUCCCACCCUGAGACCAGGAUGCCCGGCACAGUCUGGGGCUCGGUGACAUGGCUCCUGUCCCAGAACAUCCAUCUGGGCAGAGACAACGAAAUUGCAGGCUCGAGUCUGCUCUUUGCCAUUUUCUAGAAAAUGGCUUCACUUAUAAAAAUUUCCGGCAAACAUUCCCUCCUGUCACUGUGCUGCCAGACCCACUCUUCGUUUCUAAUCAGCCCUGAAAAUAGCCCUUGAUAGAGAUAAUAGGAAGAACAAAGAGAAAUUUAGAGGAAGGAAAGAAAAGUCAUGCCUAACUGGCAGCACAGACGUUGUUUUCAGAAAGAACCCUUCAGUUAGUUCCUGAUUUGUCUUCAAACAGCAAGGUGUUAAAUAAAUCCCAGGGAGUGGACUUGGACCGAGACCAAGGAUUCUGUGGCUUUUUUAGGUCAUAGACUCCUUUGAGAAGCUAGAAAAUCUGGUUAAAAAUCCAUGAAGCAAUCUCUCUUUUAAAGGCUUUCCCUCUUCUCUCUCUCUCUCUCUUUCUCUCUCUCUGUGUGUGUGUGUGUGCACGUGUGUGUGUGUACGUACAAGGGAAAGGCUGAGCUAUACUUCUUCAGGCAUGAUCUGAUAGGCACAGAAGCCUUGGAAGUCUUUCUGAAAAUAGGCGAGUGUGGAAGUCCAAAGAGGAGACUAGAAUUCCAUUUCACAUGAGCCAAACUCAGCAAAGACAGACACUGAGGGAUCAAUACCUGGCCCCAGUACUAUGAGAAGAGCCUGAAGGCCUGAGUCUGUCACCUACAGGCCUCAACAAGAACAAGAGUACCCCCUAAAAGGGUAGUAAUGGCCAUGAGCUACGGAGUGGUUGUGGGAGCCCUGA